AUUGAACGCUGGCGGCAGGCUUAACACAUGCAAGUCGAGCGGAGAUGAGGUGCUUGCACCUUAUCUUAGCGGCGGACGGGUGAGUAAUGCUUAGGAAUCUGCCUAUUAGUGGGGGACAACAUUCCGAAAGGAAUGCUAAUACCGCAUACGUCCUACGGGAGUAAGCAGGGGAUCUUCGGACCUUGCGCUAAUAGAUGAGCCUAAGUCGGAUUAGCUAGUUGGUGGGGUAAAGGCCUACCAAGGCGACGAUCUGUAGCGGGUCUGAGAGGAUGAUCCGCCACACUGGGACUGAGACACGGCCCAGACUCCUACGGGAGGCAGCAGUGGGGAAUAUUGGACAAUGGGGGGAACCCUGAUCCAGCCAUGCCGCGUGUGUGAGGAAGGCCUUAUGGUUGUAAAGCACUUUAAGCGAGGAGGAGGCUACUGAGACUAAUACUCUUGGAUAGUGGACGUUACUCGCAGAAUAAGCACCGGCUAACUCUGUGCCAGCAGCCGCAGUAA
rnacentral:rRNA from 1 species